rnacentral:rRNA from 1 species
GACGAACGCUGGCGGCGUGCUUAACACAUGCAAGCCGAACGGAAAGGCCCUGCUUUUGUGGGGUGCUCGAGUGGCGAACGGGUGAGUAACACGUGAGUAACCUGCCCUUGACUUUGGGAUAACUUCAGGAAACUGGGGCUAAUACCGGAUAGGAGCUCCUGCUGCAUGGUGGGGGUUGGAAAGUUUCGGCGGUUGGGGAUGGACUCGCGGCUUAUCAGCUUGUUGGUGGGGUAGUGGCUUACCAAGGCUUUGACGGGUAGCCGGCCUGAGAGGGUGACCGGCCACAUUGGGACUGAGAUACGGACCAGACGCCUACGGGAGGCAGCAGUGGGGAAUAUUGCACAAUGGGCGGAAGCCUGAUGCAGAAACGCCGCGUGCGGGAUGACGGCCUUCGGGUUGUAAAACGCUUUCGCCUGUGACGAAGCGUGAGUGACGGUAAUGGGUAAAGAAGCACCGGCUAACUACGUG